ACUCAAAGGAAUUGACGGGGGCCCGCACAAGCGGUGGAGUAUGUGGUUUAAUUCGAAGCAACGCGCAGAACCUUACCUACCCUUAACAUCCUAUGCUAGUGGUAGAGAUAUCAUGUUCUCUUCGGAGACGUAGAGAUAGGUGCUGCAUGGCUGUCGUCAGCUCGUGUUGUAAGAUGUCUGGUUAAGUCCAAUAACGAGCGCAACCCUUAUCUUUAGUUGCCAGCAUUAAGUUGGGCACUCUAGAGAGACUGCCGGUGUUAAGCCGGAGGAAGGCGGGGAUGACGUCAAGUCCUCAUGGCCCUUAUGGGUAGGGCUACACACGUACUACAAUGGCAGAGACAGACUGAUGCGAACCCGCGAGGGGGAGCCAAUCGGUAAAACACUGCCUCAGUUCGGAUUGGAGUCUGCAACUCGACUCCAUGAAGUUGGAAUCGCUAGUAAUCGCUGAUCAGCAAGCAGCGGUGAAUACGUUCCCGGGCCUUGUACACACCGCCCGU
rnacentral:rRNA from 1 species